CCUACGGGAGGCAGCAGUAGGGAAUAUUGGUAAUCUGGGAGACCGGGAACCAGCAACGCCGCGUGCGCGAUGAAGGCCCUCGGGUUGUAAAGCGCUUUUAGAAGGGAUGAGGAAGGACAGUACCUUCUGGAUAAGCCUCGGCUAACUACGUGCCAGCAGCCGCGGUAAAACGUAGGAGGCGAGCGUUAUCCGGAUUUACUGGGCGUAAAGCGCGUGUAGGCGGUCUUGUAAGUUGGAUGUGAAAGCUCCUGGCUUAACUGGGAGAGGUCGUUCAAAACUGCAAGACUUGAGAGUGGUAGAGGGAGGUGGAAUUCCGGGUGUAGUGGUGAAAUGCGUAGAUAUCCGGAGGAACACCAGUGGCGAAAGCGGCCUCCUGGACCACUUCUGACGCUCAGACGCGAAAGCUAAGGUAGCAAACGGGAUUAGAGACCCCGGUAGUCUUAGCUGUAAACGAUGUGAACUUGGCGUCGGUGGGUUUAAAUCCAUCGGUGCCGAAGCAAACGCGAUAAGUUCACCGCCUGGGGACUACGGCCGCAAGGUUAAAACUCAAAGGAAUUGACGGGGCCCCGCACGAGCAGCGGAGCGUGUGGUUUAAUUCGAUGCUACACGAAGAACCUUACCAGGGUUUGACAUGUAAGUGGUAGGAAACUGAAAAGGGACCGACCCUUCGGGGAGCUAUGAG
rnacentral:rRNA from 1 species